CUGUUUCCUUCAAUAUAAAACACUAUUUCUUGUCGUUUUUCUAAUUAGCGUUCCGGUGGAAAGCGAAAGGUCGGGAUCUUCUCCAGAUCUUCGGAGGAGGAUUACGCGUGGCUGCGGUCCCUGCUCCGGUCCGAGGAGUUCAGGGAUCGGGUUAAGGAAGUCAGACCCUGUUACAUCUCUAAUAACGGGGGUCCGCAGUUCAGAGAGGAGGUGUCUCGAUGCACCUUCGGGAUCCUCUAUCACACCAAGAACCGGGGGAGGAUUAAUGUGACCGAUGUGGAGGACGCUCUGUAUAACACAGAGCUGGAGUAUCUGUCCCGUACUUUGGGGAAAGCCAACGUCGUCGUGGUGAUCGAUGACCUGGAGGACAGCGGUGAAGCCGAGAAAAGGCGAAUCCUAGGAGCCCAAAUGAGCAUCGGGAGGUUUGCCCGAGAUCUCUUCAUCUUCUCCCAGACCGAGAAGGAUCCCGGAGGGGGAAUCCGAGGGGGCCCCGCGGCCGACAAAAUCAGGAUGAUGAAGAAAAUGCUAAAAUAAAAACUUGAAUAGCGGGGGAGGGGCGUUGGGGUAAUUCUGUACGAAUAAUUAUUCUAUACUCCUCGAGUAUGUAAUGAUUGUGGUUUUUGCCCCCGGGGGGGGGUUUCUUGGGGUAUUCUCUCUGUAGGGUUGUGAAGAGAAUAAUUUCCGUUUGAUUUUAGUCAUUUACUUGGAAAUAUACAGGCGUUUCUUUGAAACGUUUAAUAUAAUUUAUCGCAA